CUGGGGCUGCUCCCGAGGCAUAUGGAGGUUCCCAGGCUAGGGGUCUAAUAGGAGCUGUAGUUGCGGGCCUACAUCAGAGCCACAGCAACACAGGAUCCAAGCAGAGUCUGCGACCUACACCACAGCUCAUGGCAACGCCAGAUCCUUAACCCACUGAGCGAGGUCAGGGAUCAAACCCAAAACCUCAUGGUUGCUAGUCCAAUUCGUUAACCACUGAGCCACGAUGGGAACUCCCCAACUUGGGGAGUUACAACAUGUGAAAUCUGGUAGGACACAUUCAGAACACAACACACAACAAAAUUUUCCAAUUUGCUACCUCUUAAAUAGGAACCGGUCAUCAGCAGUGCCUGAGUGUCCUUAAAAACUUCUAGAUUGUUAAUUCAAUCUGGUGUGGAAAGUCUGAGGUUCCAGUAGAUAAACCACUCUUCUCAUACUUAUAAACCUCUAUCUGGUUUCCGAUGUUCGAUGUUAUUUAGAGCCCUUAGCCUUUGAAGCCCAAUAUAAGAAUUUAUCUAGUAACCAAAGAAAUUUUACAAAAAACACUUUGUCGAUGACAAGAAUUUUCAGUCUUGACAAAAUCUUAAGCUUGACUUUGAAGCCUCUCCUAUUUAAUACGGCAGGACUCUUGGUUGCUUUUAGAGAUACUGACCACUGUCAGUUGAAGUCAAACUAAGCCCACUACACAGUAGCUUGCUUGCUUGAUUUAUUUAUUUAGCAAGACUUUCUCAAUGAAGACAAGGGCACUCAUUUAUAUUCUGGGAAAAGCUCCUCAUCUUGCCACAGACUAAAACAUUGAAUCGUACUGUGUUAAACUAUCUCAUUAUAUCCUCCAUGUCUGGUAACUUCUCCUCCACUGUUUCCAUUUCCUUGUCUCUCUCUGCUCCACCAUGCUUCCAAUUCACUCUAUUUCUCUCUCAUUGCAUCUAGUCUGAUGUUUAACCUAUCCAAUGAGCUUUUUGUAAUUGCGUAUUUAUUUUAUGAAAUAACUUCAAACAUAUUUCAAAGUUGAAAAAAUUUUACACUGAAAACCUGUUUACUUAUCACCUAGGUUGUAUCAUUAACAUUGUAGUAUUCUUGUUUUAUCAUUUAGCUAUCCAUCUAUCCAUUAACCCUUCUUGUUUUUAGUGCACUUCAAGGUUGCAGAUAUCAGUUAUACUUCAACCUAGGUACUUUAGCAUGCAAAUCAUUAAAUAUUUGUUUAUAGGUUUUUUCUUUUGCUGUACAAUUUACAUACAACAAAAUACACUAAUCUUAAAUGUACAUUCACUGAGUUUUGACAAAUAUGUCAUUCUGUUUUUGAGAUUUAUCCAUGUAGCUGCACAUAUCAUUAGCUUGCUCUUUUUAAUCACUGAUUAGUAUUAUAUUACAUGGAUAUAUGAUAGUUUAAAAAAUCUAUUCUCUGAUUGAUAGACACCUGGGCUGAUUACAGUUUUAGGCUAUUAUGAAUAAAGCUCCUAUGAAUAAUUUUUGUAUGUCUUUUUGCAGUUAUACAUUUUCUUUAUUUUUAGGAAAGACCCGGGAGUGAAACUGUUGGGUUAUAAGAUAGUUAUAUAUGGAGUUCCCUGGUGGCCUAGCAAGUUAAGGACUUGGCACAUUGUCACCACUGUGGCAGAGGUUUGAUCCCUAGCCUGGGAACUUCUGCAUUCAGUAGGCAUAGCAAACAAACAAACAAACAAUAAAACAAAACAAAACAAAAACCAUUAAAACAUAGUUUACAUUCUCAACAAUAAAAUGUGAGAAUUCCAAGUACUUUACAAUCCUGCCAACAUUUGGUAUCACAGUCUUUCUAAUUUUAGCCAUUACUGUUGGUUAUAUAGUAGUAUCUCAUAAUUGUUUUAAUUUGCAUUUCACCAAUGACUGAUACUAAGCACUAUGUUUUUAUUGACAAAUCACUUAUUUUGUGAAGUGUCUGUUUAAACUGUCCAUUUUCAAACUGUCCAUUUAAAAAAAAAAACAAACCAAUUUUUGAAAACGGACAGUUUGAACAGUUUGUUUGCUUUUUCUUAUUAAGCUGUAGGAGUUCUUUAUAUAAACAUCAGUUCUUUGUCACAUAUAUAUUUUGGGAAUAUGUUUUCCUGUUCUUGACUAUUCAUUUUUUUAAUGACGUCUUGUGAUAAUAAUGGGUUUUAAUUUUGGUGAAGUAGAAUGAAUAUUUUUUUUCUUUUUUUGGUUAUCACUUUUUGAGACCUAAGAAACUGUUGCACAAGUCAUGAAACUAUUCCGUUUUCCCCAAAAAGCUUUAUGGUUUUACAUUUUAUUUUUAUGUUAUGCUCUACCUCAAGUUAAUCCUUGUGUUUGAUGUGAGGUAGAGGUUGAGAUUCACUUUUUUCUAUAUGGAUAUUCAGUUAUUUCAGUGCUCUUCAUGGGAAAAAAACUUUCCUUUCCCUGUUGGACUGCUUUGGUGCCUAUAUCAAAAAUUCCAUAAACAUGAAUCUAUUUCUGGGUGCUCUUUUUCACUCAUGUAUUUGAUACUAUGUCAGUGUCACCAUCGUGAUUACUAUGGGUUGACAGUAAAUCUUGAAAUCAGGUACUGUAAGUCCUCCAGUUUUGUUCUUUUUCAAGACUGCUUUGGCUAUUCUAAGUCCUCUGCAUUUCCACUUUUAUUUUGUUUUAGUUUAUUUAUUUGGUCUUUUUAGGGCCACACCCACGGCAUAUGGAAAUUCCCAGGCUAGGGGUCAAAUCAGACCUACAGCUGCUGGCCUACACCACAGCCACAGCAACGCAGGAUCAGAGCUGGGUGUGUGACCUAUACCACAACUCACAGCAACAUUGGGAUCCUUAACCCACUGAGCUAGGCCAGGGAUCAAACCCACGUCCUCAUGGAUACUAGUAGGGUUCAUUACUGCUGAGUCACAACAGGAA
rnacentral:lncRNA from 1 species